rnacentral:sRNA from 1 species
AGGUAUUACAGUCAUAGCAGAGCAGAGGACCGGUAGCAGCCCUAGGCAAAGAGGGGCUGAAGAAGCCAACCAAGGCUUCAUGUGUAGUUGGAGAAAGAAGUCUCAGCUUCAGCCAAGUUUUCAGGUUGGAUUACUACAUGGGAAUUAACUGUUAAUUAUCUGCUAUAUUGUUUUUGUGAUAUCAAGUAAUCUGAUUUUUUACAUGACCAAAACAACAACAACAAAAAAGUAUUGAAGCCUACCUUAAAUUUCAUCUAGGGACAAAAGGAAGAACUAGCCCACCAAGUAGGUUUAAAGGGAGCGUCAGACACAAAAAUGACAUGCUCCAUAUUGCAGUCUAGAAGGAACAACAUGGUGAAUUGUCCACUGCAGAACACUUCACUCUGUCUCGAUUACUACAUGGUGAAUUGAAGUUCCAGUAGAGAGGGAAUCGAGCCGAUACUGAGGAGAUCAAUACCCAUCACCGUAUGGAUCUACUUC